rnacentral:rRNA from 1 species
GAACGAACGCUGGCGGCAUGCCUAACACAUGCAAGUCGAACGAAGACCUUCGGGUCUUAGUGGCGCACGGGUGCGUAACGCGUGGGAAUCUGCCCUUGGGUUCGGAAUAACAGUUAGAAAUGACUGCUAAUACCGGAUGAUGUCUUCGGACCAAAGAUUUAUCGCCCAAGGAUGAGCCCGCGUAGGAUUAGGUAGUUGGUGGGGUAAAGGCCUACCAAGCCGACGAUCCUUAGCUGGUCUGAGAGGAUGAUCAGCCACACUGGGACUGAGACACGGCCCAGACUCCUACGGGAGGCAGCAGUGGGGAAUAUUGGACAAUGGGGGAAACCCUGAUCCAGCAAUGCCGCGUGAGUGAUGAAGGCCUUAGGGUCGUAAAGCUCUUUUACCAGGGAUGAUAAUGACAGUACCUGGAGAAUAAGCUCCGGCUAACUCCGUG